rnacentral:rRNA from 1 species
CCUACGGGUGGCUGCAGUGGGGAAUUUUGGACAAUGGGCGCAAGCCUGAUCCAGCAAUGCCGCGUGCAGGAUGAAGGCCUUCGGGUUGUAAACUGCUUUUGUGAACCACUCGGUACCGUAAGAAUAAGCACCGGCUAACUACGUGCCAGCAGCCGCGGUAAUACGUAGGGUGCAAGCGUUAAUCGGAAUUACUGGGCGUAAAGCGUGCGCAGGCGGUGAUGUAAGACAGAUGUGAAAUCCCCGGGCUCAACCUGGGACCUGCAUUUGUGACUGCAUCGCUAGAGUACGGUAGAGGGGGAUGGAAUUCCGCGUGUAGCAGUGAAAUGCGUAGAUAUGCGGAGGAACACCGAUGGCGAAGGCAAUCCCCUGGCCGUACUGACGCUCAUGCACGAAAGCGGGGGAGCAAACAGGAUUAGAUACCCUGUAGUC